rnacentral:rRNA from 1 species
AAGGCCCUGCUUGCAGGGUACUCGAGUGGCGAACGGGUGAGUAACACGUGGGUGAUCUGCCCUGCACUUCGGGAUAAGCCUGGGAAACUGGGUCUAAUACCGGAUAGGAGCCAUUUUUAGUGUGAUGGUUGGAAAGUUUUUUCGGUGUAGGAUGAGCUCGCGGCCUAUCAGCUUGUUGGUGGGGUAAUGGCCUACCAAGGCGGCGACGGGUAGCCGGCCUGAGAGGGUGGACGGCCACAUUGGGACUGAGAUACGGCCCAGACUCCUACGGGAGGCAGCAGUGGGGAAUAUUGCACAAUGGGCGCAAGCCUGAUGCAGCGACGCCGCGUGGGGGAUGACGGCCUUCGGGUUGUAAACUCCUUUCGCUAGGGAC